AAGGAGAAACAAUCAGUUCUGCAGAGGGGUAGGAGGGGGCAGUGACAGGGAGAGGUCCCAGCGCCGCCAGCCCUGACACACAGACCAGCCCAGAUGGAAGUUGAGGAAAAUCUCGUCACUGCCCAUCCUGGAAAUCGGUUCACUCCUUUGGUAAAGCCAACUCCAGAUCCUAACGCAGAAUGAGAUUUCUUUGCACUAGCAAGUAACAAGACCUGUUCCAAAGAGUGAACUAUUUAAGUAGGCAUGAUGGACAAAAAGCAGCAGCAGAAAAUCAUCAUUAUUCCCUGCUUCAUGGAUGGAAAACUGAAAGACAGAUUCAAUGACCUGCCAAGGGUCACAUAGGAAAAGAAGUAAUUCAUAAAUCCCAGCACAAGGUCUUAAGCCAUGCGAUUUCCUCUCAUUCUUUAAUCAAUAAUAAAACACCACAGAUGUCUAAGAA